UCAGAACACCAAUUUUCGAAAUAUUGCCUUAUCCAGAUAAUGAAUAACAACAUACUAACAGAAAUUAUCCAUGACAAGUACUUCAUACAAAACAAACAAGCCUACACGGCAAACACCAAAGAAUUAAUUACAAACAAAUGCAUAACAGGAAUUUUGAAUCAAGCCACAACCGAAUGUAGCUACACAAAAACAAGAAAGAAUUUUGAAAUCAAUUACAUCGAGCCUAACAUGCUCAUUACUUGGAACCUACCCAAAACACUUUUAAAACAAGAUUGCAACAAUAGAGAAAUAAUAGUAGAAGGUAACAACCUUAUAAAAGCGUCAAACUGUUCAAUCCAAUUAGACGAAAUAAUAAUCACAAGCACACUAUUAGAUUAUACACAAACGAUUUAUGUAAGUAAUAAUGUAACCAAAUUAGAACCACUGUCAUACAUUCAAGCCAAAGAAAUCGUAAAAGACCAAACAAAAAUGCACAAUACCUUCCAAAUUGUAACGUUAACAACACUUUGCAUAAUCAUAAGCGCUAUAAUAUUGUAUAUUAUCUAUAAGUUCAAAGCAUUACCCCAAAGAAUAAUUGUCAAAUACAAGAAACAAAAAGAAGAACCACAAGUAAAAGAACCAAUUAAUAUACAACCACAUGAAAAUAUCAUAAGUAAUAGCAACUUAAACGAAACUAUUGUAACUAGCAAUAAUCCAACUUUAUACCCAAAAAUGUCCGCCUGAGGACAGGCUAAUUUCUUAGGGAUGGGGAAGUGACAUAUGUACCACACCCACAACAUAUACUAUAAGCACACACACACAUAACAUAUGUCCACAGCACCUAAUGCAUACCCCUUAUACAUAAGCCCUAGCAACUAAGCGCACCAAAUAUGUAACACGAGACACCCCAAUUUGUAACAAUAAACCUAGAGCCCCAAAAAUCAUAAAUUCUUGGUGAAAAUAACAAUUCUGGCGUGGGACCGAUCAUAAAAUCGAAAACCAUUAGACAUAAACAUCCGCCACAAUCGUUAUUCCCACCAAAUGCCCAAAUUGCCAACGCAGCUCAAAUUCAGGCUCUUAGAAUAUUCCAGAAACUCAUUAAAGAGAAUGAGAGCAUUGUUUAAAGAGAGCGAGCUCAUGAUCUUGAGCCCUCAGCCGAGGUUUGCUAAGCGUUGACAAGACUUUAAUAAUUGAGUUCUACUGACGACUUCGACCCGUCAAGUUGCAUCGUGCACAACUGUAAAAUUCCAAUAAGUCGCGCCUACUGUUAAUAAAGACACCACUAAACUUCAAUCUCACUACAAGGAAGAUCAACACCAAACAAACAAAAGAAACUUAAGGCAAAACUGGCUAACACUCACAUAUAUAAAUUAAGAUACACUAUAUAACACAACACUAUACACAUAAUAUAAGCAACAUACAUAUAGUCUUGUGAAUUUGUACAACAACAGAAUUUUGAACCACUGUUAUUUAUAAGCAGCAAUUGCAUGGUAUAACCCACUGUGUGUUUACAAAUUGAAUAAUCAUACCAAUAGCAUGCAUUCUGCAGCCGAAUUCAAAUAAUGCUAACAGAAGCGAAAAUCAUAAGAGCAGAAUGCCUUCUGCAGCCAAGCUCAAAUAUUGUCUACAAUCAUUUAUAAACAAAAACUGACCAACAGAAAGGCGCUAGCAUAAACAAGCUGCAGCUGCUGUCCCUUUGCAAAAAGUCACGUACUCCAAUUAUUAUUUAGCUUUAAAUAUAGCGUAAGCCAAUUUUUGUACUUCAGUCUUAAUCCAGAUAUUCAACAUAAUAAACUGAUACAAAUUCACUCUCGUGAAAUAAA